CUUCAUCUUAUUAACUUGGGUAGACAAGGCCAUAUUUGGCUUAGCAGGAGGAUAGGGAGGUGGAAUAAAAAAAGGAUAUUUAAACGUAGCUAAUGACUUGGCGUAUUCAUUAACCUUUUUGCCCAACUCCAAUUCCUUCCCACUCCAUUUUGACACAUCAACUUGAGGUGCAACCACCGAUUCUUGUUUAGCAACCAUCGAAGCAAAGUUUUAAAAGAAGAAGUAGUGAAGCUGCUCUUAAUGUAAAGCACAAAGCUCGGAUGGAUUAUUAUGUACAAAUAAUUUAGAGAAGACAAGCAAUGUUCAAUGCAAGUAGUAAACUUGAAAGUGUUAGCAGAACGUGUCACAAUACUUUAACACACAUAAAUACUAACUACGCAGUUUGUUAUUUAAUUUUAACGAUGUGUAGAACUGCAAUGAGCUUUAUGAUCUAUUAUAUUGCAAUAUUGCAAAAAGCAGGUAAUACAAGUAGCAACCGAGGACAUAUAUAAUAUUUUAUGUACGAUCUAUUGUUACCUAUCAUUAAUAUAGCUUUAACUAAACUGAG